CUCUCUCUCUCUCUCUCUCUCUCUCUGACAUUUUCUUGUGCUUGGUACAGCGUUUUGCAGGGUAGUGUGGGCGAGUAUUGCUUCCAUAACUGCAAAUCAGCACCAAUUAUAAUUGUCCCUGGGAAAGAUGCUGGAGAGUUAUCUGUUCUCUAAUCUGACGGGAUGAACUCACUUUUCAUGAGGAGAUUUCAGUCAUGCUUCCUUUUUCUUUACCCUUCUACCUUUCAAUUUCUCAUUUCCCUUUAUGCUUUUUGUCUUUAGCGUUUGUUUCUGUCUUCUUGGAUUAUUUUGAGAGCCUUCUAGUGUAUAAUGUGAUUUGUUUGGAAUAUUUAAAAUCUUCAUGGGUUUUGAAUUCUUGAAUGUAAUCUAGUUAUUAUUGCCAUCAGGAGAUUCAAAUCGUGA